GUAGGGGGCGAGCGUUAUCCGGAUUCACUGGGUGUAAAGGGAGCGUAGACGGCCGAUCAAGUCUGGAGUGAAAGCCCGGGGCCCAACCCCGGGACUGCUCUGGAAACUGGUGGGCUAGAGUGCUGGAGAGGUAAGUGGAAUUCCUAGUGUAGCGGUGAAAUGCGUAGAUAUUAGGAGGAACACCAGUGGCGAAGGCGGCUUACUGGACAGUGACUGACGUUGAGGCUCGAAAGCGUGGGGAGCAAA
rnacentral:rRNA from 1 species